rnacentral:snRNA from 1 species
AUCGCUUCUCGGCCUUUUGGCUAAGAUCAAGUGUAGUAUCUGUUUUUAUCAGUUUAAUAUCUGAUACAUCCUCUAUAUAUACUGAGGACAGUAUAUUAAUAUACUGAGGACAGUAUAUUAAAUGGAUUUUUGGAGCUGAGGGAUGCAAUAGGAGCUUGCUCUGUCCACUCCAUGCAUCGACCUGGUGUUGCAGCACCUCCAGCAACGGUGCACCCCUC